rnacentral:tRNA from 1 species
GGUGGCUUAGUGGUAGAGUGCUUGCCUUGCAUGCAUGAGGCUCUGGGUUCGAUUCCUGAGCACCA